rnacentral:rRNA from 1 species
CCUACGGGGGGCAGCAGUGGGGAAUAUUGCGCAAUGGGCGAAAGCCUGACGCAGCGACGCCGCGUGAGGGAUGAAGGUCUUCGGAUCGUAAACCUCUGUCAGCAGGGAAGAACGGUCACUGUGCUAAUCAGCAGUGAAUUGACGGUACCUGCAAAGGAAGCACCGGCUAACUCCGUGCCAGCAGCCGCGGUAAUACGGAGGGUGCGAGCGUUAAUAGGAAUUACUGGGCGUAAAGCGCUCGUAUGCGGUAUGUCAAGUUCAGGGUGAAAUCCCCGCGCUCAACGUGGGAACUGCCUUUGAAACUGGCAAACUGGAGUGUGGGAGAGGAUAGUGGAAUGCCGGGUGUAGGGGUGAAAGCCGUAGAUAUCUGGAGGAACAUCAGUGGCGAAGGCGACUAUCGGGCACAUAACUGACGCUGAGGAGCGAAAGCGUGGGUAGCAAACAGGAUUAGAUACCCCGGUAGUC